CAGUCGCCGCGGUAAUACGAAGGGGGCUAGCGUUGCUCGGAAUUACUGGGCGUAAAGCGCACGUAGGCGGCUUGGUAAGUUAGAGGUGAAAGCCUGGAGCUCAACUCCAGAAUUGCCUUUAAGACUGCCGAGCUAGCAGGUGAGAGAGGUAAGUGGAAUUCCGAGUGUAGAGGUGAAAUUCGUAGAUAUUCGGAAGAACACCAGUGGCGAAGGAGGCUUACUGGCUCAUACUGGACGCUGAGGUGCGAAAGCGUGGGGAGCAAACAGGAUUAGAUACCCCUGUAGUCCCUGUCUCUUAUAC
rnacentral:rRNA from 1 species